AUAAGGCCCAGUAUAAUUUGGUCCCUUCCUCCUUCUCACCCUAAUUUCCCACUGCUCUUCCUCUCCCCCUGCUCCAGCCCCUGGGGGGCUAUGGCUGUUUCACAGACCAAAGCAGUUCUAUCCUUAGGGCCUUUGUUCCUGCUGUUGCCCCUUGGAAGGUUUUCUCCCUCAGAUAUUAACAUGGCUGUCUCCUCACUCUAUUUAUACCUCUGUUCAAAUAUCAACAUGUGGUGAACAGCGUCGAAAGUGACCCUUAAUGAUCUGCCCUCCUGGUAUUCACAUCUUGUGUGAUUCCCUACCCCUUUAGUGUGAGCUGGACCUACUGACUUACUAAUAAUGAAAAGAAUAUUUUAAAAGGGGAGAGAUGUCACCUCUGAGAUCUGAUUAUAAAAUACUAUGACUUCAUCUUGCAUGCUUUUCCUCUCUCCCUUUGUCUCCCUCUCCCUGGCAUUCUUGCUUGUGAGAAAGCAGGCUGCCAUGGUGUGAGCUGCCCUGUGGAGAAGCCCACAUGGCAAGAAACUGAGGGAGACCUUCAGCCAAUAGCCAGUGAGGAACUGAUGCUCUCAGAGAACAGCCUGUAGGAAACUAAUUUCUGCUAAGAACCUUCAGAUGACUGCAGGCCUGGCUGGCAACUCAACUGCAGCCUGAGAGAUCUUGAAGCAGAGGAUUCAGCUAAGCUUCUCCUGGAUUCCCAUUUGACAGAAACUCUGAGAUCAUGAAUACUGUUGUUUUGAACACUAAGUCUUGAGGUAAUUUGUAACACAGCAAUAGAUCACUGAUACCGAAUCCCUGGGAGAAGUCUUCUAUGACUAUGCAAUUUUAAACAGAAUUCUUUGUUGCACAAUGAUCCCCUAACCUUCUUUGUUUUAUUUCAUAGCAUGUAUUUCUUAGACAUUAUUUGAUAUUUUUUUGUUUGCAUAUUUCUUUCUCUCUGCUAGAAUGUAAAGUUUUAUGAAGACGAAACUAUUUUGCUUAUCAUCCUGUUUCCUAGUGCCUACAAGAGUGUCUAACAUUAAAUGGGUGCUCACAUUUGGGUCUCACUUUGUAAUCCAGGCUGGAGUGCAGUGGUUGAUCUUGGCUCACUAUAGCCUCACACUCCCACCAGGCUCCAGAGAUCCCUCAACCUCAGCCUCGUGAAGUACAUGUCACCACAACCAGGGUGGUGACGGCUCUGCUGGUGCCAGCUCCAGGUUUUGCAUGACCUCUGUGGGCUCCCCUAUACCUGCUUAGACCUCUAUUCUCUUUUUGCACGUGCUGUCUGUCUCCUGCUUGCUCUGUGGCACAGCUGGGUAAGUGUCCAUCUUAUUCCUGGCACAAUGUAGGGGCUUCAGUGUUGGUGGAAAGGCAGAGAGAAAUUCAUUAAUUCCCAAGGGAGAAAUUUAAGACUGGAGAAUUAAGAGAACAAUUUGGCAGUAUCUAGUAAAUAUAUAUAUCCAGUAAUUCCUUUCUUAUAUCAGAAAACAAACAUAUAGACGACAGAAAUGUUUUCAGAAGUCAAAAGACUAAAUUCAAGUAAUGAGUCUGAUCUUUUCUCCAACCUUCUUCCUGCUAACUGUUCAUCUGGAGACCCCUAGAAAAUUUUGCCCUAAUGCUGGUGUCUCUCCUCCCUCCCCCGUCCCCCACUAUUUCCACUGAUUUUAAAUGAAAGUGGUCCUUAAUAUUUUGGUAUUCAUAUUUUUCUACCCUUUGCCCCUUCAGCCCUUCAUACAGUGCUCUCUAAAUAUGCUUAGUGGUGGUACUCUAAGGCUGUAGGCGUUUACAAAAAUCCCUAGGCAGUCUCAUGAAAAUCAAACAGUCCACCUUUCUUUAGCUGGUUUCUUCAAAGGGAUUUCUGUAAACAGCACUUCCUUCAAGCAGAGUCCACCUGCCUUUCCUAUCCUUGCUUUCUUGGGAGGUGCCUGCAGUGCCAUCAAGGGAGCCCAACCCAGAGAAGGGAGCUCACAAAUGAGAUCUGAGGCCCUUUAAAGAUGUGGCAUCGAAUGGAAGACUAUUUC
ensembl:lncRNA